UACGAAGGGGGCUAGCGUUGCUCGGAAUCACUGGGCGUAAAGCGCACGUAGGCGGAUUGCUAAGUCAGGGGUGAAAUCCUGGAGCUCAACUCCAGAACUGCCUUUGAUACUGGCGGUCUCGAGUCCGGGAGAGGUGAGUGGAACUGCGAGUGUAGAGGUGAAAUUCGUAGAUAUUCGCAAGAACACCAAAGGCGAAGGCACCAUCCUGGGGAGUCACUGACGCUCGGGUGCGAAAGCCAGGGGAGCGAACGGG
rnacentral:rRNA from 1 species